rnacentral:ncRNA from 1 species
ACAAAGGUCCUUUUCAGGACCACCCACCUGUUUCUUAAAGAGCUG